rnacentral:rRNA from 1 species
UUGGAGGGCAAGUCUGGUGCCAGCAGCCGCGGUAAUUCCAGCUCCAAUAGCGUAUAUUAAAGUUGUUGCAGUUAAAAAGCUCGUAGUUGAAUUUCGGGAUCAAAUUGUCGGUCGUGCCUCGGUACGCACUGGUAUUAUUGGUUCCUACCUUCUGAAGAACCGCGAUGUCAUUAAUUUGGUGUCGUGGGGAAUCAGGACUGUUACUUUGAAAAAAUUAGAGUGUUUAAAGCAGGCUUACGCUUGAAUACAUUAGCAUGGAAUAAUGAAAUAGGACGUUUGAUUCUAUUUUGUUGGUUUCUAGGAUUGACGUAAUGAUUAAUAGGGAUAGUUGGGGGCAUUAGUAUUCAAUUGUCAGAGGUGAAAUUCUUGGAUUUAUUGAAGACUAACUACUGCGAAAGCAUUUGCCCAAGGAUGUUUUCAUUAAUCAAGAACGAAAGUUAGGGGAUCGAAGACGAUCAGAUACCGUCGUAGUCUUUAACCACAAACUAUGCCGAUUAGGGAUCGGAUGAUGUUAAUUUUUUAAUGACUCAUUCGGCGCCUUACGGAAAC